UACAGAGGGUGCUAGCGUUGUUCGGAAUCAUUGGGCGUAAAGGGCGUGUAGGCGGUUUGUUAAGUCAUGUGUGAAAUCCCUCGGCUCAACCGGGGAACGACGCAUGAAACUGGCAAGCUAGAGUACCAAAGAGGGGGGGGGUGGAAUUCCCGGUGUAGCGGUGAAAUGCGUAGAGAUCAGGAGGAACACCCGUGGCGAAGGCGGCCUUCUGGGUCCGCCCUGACGCUGAGGCGCGAAAGCGUGGGGAGCGAACGGG
rnacentral:rRNA from 1 species